UUCCAAACGCGCUGGACUACCUUCAGUUGUCGACACAAGGAACUUCUCCGUACUCGCUGGUUUCAUCACCUGCAAACACGAAACUAAUAUUGCGUUAAACUGAUUUACCGAUUCAAUGUCAGCAUCAGAGUUUCAGAUUCGAAAAUUAAAAUUUUUAAUGGAAAAUUUGAAGGAUUUUUGAUGUCAAGGAUUUAAAGUUAAAGGAAAAGUUUUACCUUUGGAGCGCCGACGACUUGCAAUGAAACUGGAUCACUUUGGACUUCUCUGACAUUUCCGUUUAUCUUAUUGGCGGCUAAACAGAUGUAUUGACCCUGUUGAUCGUAGGUGACGUUUGUUAAAAUUAAACGUUGACCUUUUCCACAUUCCACAGGUGGCAUGGCGUCUGCAUUGCAUUCAAAAGAAGCUGACGAGUAAAGUAGAGCGGUUUUCCGUCUGUCAGGACCAACUAAACUGAUUCUUGAGGAAAAUUUUGCACCAACUUGAUUAAAAAAUGAAAAAAAAAUUGAAAAACUGAGAUGAAAAUUUUUCUUACAAUUGACGGAUAUUUGAACUGAGACAGGACUGCUUUCGCCUUCGGUGUUGGACGCUUCGCAAAU